ACUCCUUGACGGAGAAGGUCGAUGUCUUGGCAGAGCUGGGUGUUGAUGUCUUUAUGGAUGGAAAAUUUUGGGUUUAUAUUAUAUCAGUAACUCUACAAGAUGUGAUACUGGGAUUUAGGGAUCUGAGCUCUUGGAAAUCGGUGGAUGAGGUCCAGCUCUGUUCUUGUUUAGCUUUGAAAGAGAGGCUGACUCUUGUGGCAUAUGCAAGUGCUGUUUAGUUGCUUGUUUGAAACGGAAAGUCUGAAGAACAAGAAAAUCGGAGGUUUUAGACUGGCUCCAAGAUGUGCAUUUAUAAAAUAUCCAGAUUCUCUUUGCAUUUUAUUUCUAAAGUAAGAUUGAAAUAAGCUUGAAUUUUGAAAUAUCUUUCUCUUGGAAUAGGAUAUUAUGGAAUAUUGAUUGUUCCUGUUGUGGAAUAUUUAUUGUCUUACAGCCUGCAUUUACAGUCUCACAACACAGAGAAAAUAACUCCUGAUGAUGUUAAACUGACAAGACUGAGCGAUGGGAAUAUGAUGGGCUAUUUUCUGUUUACCCUGGACACUUGUUGGAGUUUGCCUUGGAAGUCAUGUGAGAGCUUCAGCAUUGUUGCAACAUCCUUUCCUCCCCUUCAGCUUCAAGGGGGCCGGGCUGCUGUGCCAGAGCUGACUGCUGUCACCACUUCACCUUUCAGGACCUUGUGCUGUGCUCCCACAUUAAAAGGCUCAAACCUAGUAACGAAGACACAACUUCCGCAGUGAGGAGCUUGACUUCAGAAAACUUGCUGAUGGGAGAAAGUAGCGACACCUGAGAGCAAUGAGUACUGAAGAGCUGUGUGUUUCAGCUUCUGCAAAGGUAAGAUGUAAAACCCUGAUCAGAAUUGGAAAAGGAAAGAGCUUAUCUUGAGGAUUUCAGUGAAAGAACCAUAAUUUCUGCAACUAAUUUAGCAGGGUUUUGUUGUUUGUUCUGUUUGGAAGAGCGGGAUGCGUUGCUUGUAAUUGUCCUCCAGUAAGCUUUAAACAGCUUCUUUGGCAAUGAAAGUUUUCUUGUUUGACUGAUUGA